UAUCGAGGAGACGGAUUAGCCGGCGGACGCGGUGAGUAACACGUGUGGUAACCUGCCUCAUAGAGGCGGAAUAGCACUAUUCGAAAUGGCAAGAUUAAUACCGCAUAAGAUUGUAGUGCCGCAUGGCAUAGCAAUUAAACGGAGUAAUCCGCUAUGAGAUGGACCCGCGUCGCAUUAGCUAGUUGGUGAGGUAACCGGCUCACCAAGGCGACGAUGCGUAGCCCGGACCUGAGAGGCGUGAUCGGCCACAUUGGGACUGAGACACGGCCCAGACUCCUACGGCGAGGCAGCAGUGGGCGGAAUAUUGCACAAUGGGCGGAAUACCCUCGAUGCAGCAAUCUGCCGCGUGAGCCUGAUGACGGUCUUCGGAUAUGUAACAGCAUCUGUCUUCGAGGCGACGAUAAUGACGGUACCUGUAGAGAGGAAGCACACGGCACUAACUACGUGCCAGCAGCCGAUUGUAAUACGUAGGUCGGCAAGCGUUGUCCGGAUCUUACUGGGCGUAAAUGGGAGCGUAGGUGGAUAUUCAUAAGUGGGAUGUGAAUAUACUCGGGCUUAACCUGGGUGCUGCAUUCCAAGACUGGAUAUCUAGAGUGCAGGCAGAGGAAAGUAGAAUUCCUAGUGUAGCGGUGAAAUGCGUAGCAGAUUAGGAAGAAUACCAGUGGCGGAAGGCGACUUAUCUGGACUGUAACUGACACUGAGGCUCGAACAGCGUGGGCGAGCAAACAGGAAUUAGAUUACCCUGGUAGUCCACGCCGUAAACGAAUGAAUACUAGGCUGUAGCGGGUUGUCAUGACCUCUGUGCCGGCCGCGUAACGCAUUAAGCUAUUCCGCCUGGGCGAGUACGGUCGCAAGAUUAAAACUCAAAGGAAUUGACGGCGGCAGCCCGCACAAGCAGCGGAGCAUGUGGUAUUAAUUCGAAGCAACGCGAAGAAUCCUUACCUAGACUUGACAUCCUCCUGAAUUACCCAUUAAUCGGCGGAAUGCCCUUCGGCGGCAGGUAAGACCAGGUGGAUGCAUGGUUGUACGUCAGCCUCGUGUCGUGAGAUGUUGGGUUAAGUCCCGCAACGAGUCGCAACCCUUAUUGUUAGUGUGCUACGCGAUUUAGUUGAGCACUCUAGCCGAGACUGCCCGGCGUUAACCGGGAGCGAAGGUGGUGGAUGACGUCAAUAUCCAUCAUGCCGCCUUAUGUCUUAGGGCUACACACGUGCUACAAAUGGCUGGUACAGAGAGAUGCUAAUACCGCGAGGUGGAGCCAAACUUUGAAAACCAGUCUCAGUUCGGAUUGUAGGCUUGAACACUCGCCUACAUGAAGCUGGAGUAUGCUAGUAAUCGCGAAUCAGAAUGUCGCGGUUGCAAUACGUUCCCUGGGACCUUGUACACACCGCCUCGUUCAUCACCAAUGAGCACA
rnacentral:rRNA from 1 species